UAUUGGACGUGUUUGUAUUCCUGAGAUCUUGAGGGCCUCAAUUUAGAGUUUAAAUCCGUUGCCGAAUUCAUAGUUCGUAAUGUCACAAAAAGUUUAAUCGGUUCAGUUGUUUUGGAAUCAAAGCAAAUUUGGGUGCUUCAGAGAAAUGAGAGUCAACCAUACUCACUAAAAAAUUUAAACCGAUUUUGUUUUUUAAUAGUUUAGAAAGUCGCUUGAUUUUAAUAUAUCGAUGAAACUUAUCAGUUGAAAAAGUUUGGUGUUCUCUAUUAUAAGUAUGAAAUUUUUCUUCAAACUAUAAAGCUAAUUUUUAAAUCUAAGAUGGACACUUAUAUUUCUUUUAGAAUAUAAUUACCAGUGUGACGCUCGCAACAAUUUCACUUUCCAAAGGUGUGAUGUAAUGAAGUUCAACUCAAAUAUUUUAGUGGAAGAACUAGAACUUGUCAAGAGGCGCCAAAGUUAGCGGCCUAUUACCAUCGCCAAUGCUACCUGAAGAUCCAUGGACACGAAAACAAUAACAACAGAACUAGAACUUAACUAGAGAGAAGUAUAUGGAACACAGUAAAAGACGUCCAGCAACUUAAUUCCAUACAUUUCCCCACGAAAAGGCAUUGCCACACGUUUCGGAAACAAGAAUUGAGACACUUGGCUAAUCUUUUACAAUUAAGUUUACUCUAGUUUGAUUUUUCGUAAGAAAAUGAAUUCAAUUUUAUGUCAAAGAAUGUGAAUUACUUCUUUUUUGUAAAUAAUGCUUUUAUUUUACAAACCUACUUAUAGCUAGCAAUAAAAUAUUUAUUUUCUAAGAUCAUAAAUUAAGUUUUAUUUAUUUUGUAACCAUUUU